ACGUAGGACGCAAGCGUUAUCCGGAGUUACUGGGCGUAAAGGGCAGGCAGGCGGGUCGAUAAGUCGGAUGUGAAAUCUCCCUGGCUUAACCGGGAGAGUGCAUUUGAGACUGUCAACCUGGAGGGCAGCAGAGGAGCGCGGAAUUCCGGGUGGAGUGGUGAAAUGCGUAGAGAUCCGGAGGAACACCAGUGGCGCAGGCGGUGUCCUGGGGCGUACCUGA
rnacentral:rRNA from 1 species